UAAAAGUCGUAACAAGGUUUCCGUAAGUCGGAUCGUGUUUCCAAGCCCAAAAGCUUUUUGCUAACAUCUUUAUAGGUAGGUGAACCUGCGGAAGGAUCAUU
rnacentral:rRNA from 1 species